rnacentral:rRNA from 1 species
UACGGAGGGUGCGGGCGUUGUCGGGAAUCACUGGGCGUAAAGGGCGCGUAGGCGGCCUGAUAAGUAGGGGGUGAAAUCCUGCGGCUUAACCGCAGGGCUGCCUUCUAAACUGUCAGGCUAGAGCACAGUAGAGGCAGGUGGAAUUCCCGGUGUAGCGGUGGAAUGCGUAGAGAUCGGGAAGAACAUCAGUGGCGAAGGCGGCCUGCUGGGCUGUUGCUGACGCUGAGGCGCGACAGCGUGGGGAGCAAACAGG